GGACCCGCACAAGCGGUGGAUGAUGUGGAUUAAUUCGAUGCAACGCGAAAAACCUUACCUACCCUUGACAUGGUCGGAAUCCGUGAGAGAUUGCGGAGUGCUCGAAAGAGAACCGGCGCACAGGUGCUGCAUGGCUGUCGUCAGCUCGUGUCGUGAGAUGUUGGGUUAAGUCCCGCAACGAGCGCAACCCUUGUCAUUAGUUGCUACGAAAGGGCACUCUAAUGAGACUGCCGGUGACAAACCGGAGGAAGGUGGGGAUGACGUCAAGUCCUCAUGGCCCUUAUGGGUAGGGCUUCACACGUCAUACAAUGGUACAUACAGAGGGCCGCCAACCCGCGAGGGGGAGCUAAUCCCAGAAAGUGUAUCGUAGUCCGGAUUGCAGUCUGCAACUCGACUGCAUGAAGUUGGAAUCGCUAGUAAUCGCGGAUCAGCAUGUCGCGGUGAAUACGUUCCCGGGUCUU
rnacentral:rRNA from 1 species